CCGUUUCGAUCUGCUGCGGGCAGAUGAAAUGGAUGUGGGUGUCGAUGCCGCCGGCGGUGAGGAUGUGGCCCUCCCCGGCGAUCGCCUCGGUGCCGGGCCCCACCACGAUCGUCACCCCGUCGGUGAUGUCGGGGUUCCCUGCCUUGCCGAUGGCGCAGAUGCGUCCGUCGCGCAGGCCCACAUCGGCCUUGACGAUCCCCCACCAAUCGAGGAUGAGGGCGUUGGUGAUCACCGUGUCCACCGCCCCGUCGGCGCGGGAGGUCUGGGCCUGGCCCAUGCCGUCGCGG
rnacentral:sRNA from 18 species